rnacentral:rRNA from 1 species
GACGAACGCUGGCGGCGUGCUUAACACAUGCAAGUCGAACGGAAAGGCCCUGCUUUUGUGGGGUGCUCGAGUGGCGAACGGGUGAGUAACACGUGAGUAACCUGCCCUUGACUUUGGGAUAACUUCAGGAAACUGGGGCUAAUACCGGAUAGGAGCUCCUGCUGCAUGGUGGGGGUUGGAAAGUUUCGGCGGUUGGGGAUGGACUCGCGGCUUAUCAGCUUGUUGGUGGGGUAGUGGCUUACCAAGGCUUUGACGGGUAGCCGGCCUGAGAGGGUGACCGGCCACAUUGGGACUGAGAUACGGCCCAGACUCCUACGGGAGGCAGCAGUGGGGAAUAUUGCACAAUGGGCGGAAGCCUGAUGCAGCAACGCCGCGUGCGGGAUGACGGCCUUCGGGUUGUAAACCGCUUUCGCCUGUGACGAAGCGUGAGUAACGGUAAUGGGUAAAGAAGCACCAGCUAACUACGUG